rnacentral:rRNA from 1 species
GGUCAAGUUAUUAAGGGCUUACGGUGGAUGCCUUGGGACCAAGAGCCGAUGAAGGGCGCGGCAAGGCUGCGUUAAGCCUCGAUGAGCCGUCUAGCGGGCAUAGUCGGGGAUACCCGAAUGGGGAAACCUUAUCCGGUGUUGAGUCGGAUAAUCCUUCCUGUAAAGGGAGGAGGGCAAGUGGGGGAACUGAAACAUCUAAGUACCCCGAGGAAAAUAAAUCAACCGAGAUUCCCUAAGUAGUGGCGAACGAACGGGGAUCAGCCUAAACCAGUAUUACUUAGUGGCAUAAGGGCCUAUGUUGUAUUGGGGUUGCAGGGAUUGCCUAGGGCCCCCUUAUGAGGCCCAAAGGAGUUACAAAUCUUAUUUCUAGUCGAAGGAUCCUGGGAAGGACCGCCAUAGAGGGUGACAGCCCCGUAGGCGAAAGGGAUAAGACUCCUGGCGUAUUACCUAAGUACCACGGGGCACGGGAAACCUUGUGGGAAUCUGGGGGGACCACCCUCCAAGGCUAAAUACUCUUGGUCACCGAUAGCGUACCAGUACCGUGAGGGAAAGGUGAAAAGAACCCCUAGCGGGGAGUGAAAUAGAUCUGAAACCGUAAGCCUACAGAAGGUCGUAGUCCCGACUUUGUCGGGAUGGCGGCGUGCCUAUUGAAGAAUGAUCCUGGGACUUACUGUAUGGAGCAAGGUUAAGGAACUGUAGUUCCGGAGCCGAAGCGAAAGCGAGUCUGAAUAGGGCGCCAAGUUCCAUGUAGUAGACUCGAAACCGGGUGAGCUACCCAUGGCCAGGUUGAAGGUCCGGUAAAACGGACUGGAGGACCGAACUCGUGGCUAGUACAAAAGCUUGGGAUGAGCUGUGGGUAGAGGUGAAAUGCCAAUCGAACUCGGAAAUAGCUAGUUCUCCUCGAAAUGCAUUUAGGUGCAGCCUCGAUCUAUAGGUGGACGGAGGUAGGGCACUGAAUGGGCUAGGGGGCGUGAGCUUACCAAACCCAAUCAAACCACCAAUGCCGUUUAUCCGUUAAUCGGGAGUGAGACCGGCACAGAUAAGUGCGUCGGUCGAAAGGGAAACAGCCCAGACCACCGGCUAAGGCCCCCAAGAAUUGACUAAGUGGGAAAGGAAGUUAGGUUCCCAAAACAACCAGGAGGUUGGCUUAGAAGCAGCCACCCUUUAAAGAGUGCGUAAUAGCUCACUGGUCGAGGGAUCUGGCGCCGAAAAUGUAACGGGGCUUAAGUCAAUCGCCGAAGCCGUGGAUGUAUAGGUACAAGGGUGAAAUCUUUGCAACUAAAGGCGGACCCAAUUGUGGAAGUCCCUCCCUUCGGGGAAGGAUGGACGCUUGCGGUGAAACCGGCGGACGUGAAGCCGGACCUCUUGAUUAUUGCUUAUGCGUGGUAGAGGAGCGUUCCUCGGGCGGUGAAGGUUAACCGUGAGGUUAGCUGGAGCGCGGGGAAGUGAGAAUCCAGGAAUGAGUAGCGUAAACUAGGGUUAAAAUCCCUGGCGCCGAAAGCCCAAGGUUUCCUACGCAAUGCUUGUCAGCGUAGGGUUAGUCGGUCCUAAGCCGUAGGCAAGAGCCGAAGGCGAUGGACAGCAGGUUAAUAUUCCUGCACUGCCGUAUUUUCGCUUAAAACCAAGGAGGGAUGCAGGAGGGUAGGUAGAGCAUGCCUAUUGGACAUGGUGUGUCCUCUUUCGUAGGCGAGUCGGGGCAGGUAAAUCCACUCCGACGUUAAGCUGAGGAUUGAGGGAAUCGAAGCCUUCGGGCUUACGAAACUCUAUUGAACCCAUACUGACGAGAAAAGCUUCGUGGUUAUGGGAAUAUGGCAACCGUACCGCAAACCGCCACUGGUGGGCUAGGAUAAAAGUCCUAAGGCGUUCGAGCGAACCUUCGUUAAGGAACUAGACAAAAGAGCCCUGUAACUUCGGGAGAAAGGGCCCCCCGGAAUGUGUAGCCACUUGCUGGUGAAGCAAUUUGGGGGCGCAGAAAAGAAGGCCGGGCGACUGUUUAACAAAAACACAGGUCUGUGCUAAGGGGAAACCCCACGUAUACAGGCUGACGCCUGCCCAGUGCCGGAAGGUUAAGGGGAAGAGUGAGAGCUUUGAACUGAAGCCCCGGUGAACGGCGGCCGUAACUCUAACGGUCUACCAAGCUCCAACAAGGAUUAGAGGACCUGUCCUCAGGUUCAGCGUUGGCCGACUUAAGGCCGUUGUAAAAUUUGGCUAUAUGCUGGAAACUCCGAGUAUCCGGCGCUACCGGCUGGCUUAAUCUGAGCCAGAAGGUAACAAUGCGUCCGGUGCGGACAAUCAGCAGGAAAGACCUUGGAGAAGAAACAUUGGACCGUGUCCACGGACCGGUGCGGAUCUCCUCGGAAUCCUCAGAGACUAUACGCCAAACCCCUGACGGAACCAGCGGGAAGAUAUAGUCCGAUCUAUAUGGCGACAUGUAGAGGCCGGCAGAAAUGAUCGGCCCCGCCGAGCAUUACUUCGGUACUUCGGUACUAAAGGUGAAGCAAGGUGAGUAACAACAUGCCUAAGGUAGCGAAGUCCCUUGUCGGGUAAGUUCCGACCCGCAUGAAUGGUUGAACGACUUGGCCAUUGUCUCGACGAAGGCCUCGGUGAAAUUACGGUGCCCGUGAAGACGCGGGCGACCUGCGGCAGGACAAAAAGACCCCGUGGAGCUUUACUGUAACCUGGUAUUGGUCUGGGAACUGUCAUGUGUAGGAUAGGUGGGAGACUUUGAAGUUGCGACGCCAGUCGUGAUGGAGUCGUCCUUGAAAUACCACCCUUGGCUGUUUUUGGUUCUAACCUCAGCAAAACUGAGGGACAGUGCCUGGCGGGCAGUUUAACUGGGGCGGUUGCCUCCGAAAAGGUAACGGAGGCGUCCAAAGGUUCCCUCAGGACGGAUGGAAAUCGUCCAUAGAACGCAUUGGCAUAAGGGAGCUUGACUGCAAGACCUACAAGUCGAGCAGGGACGAAAGUCGGGCAAAGUGAUCCUACGGCACCGUGUGGAAGGGCCGUGGCUUAUCGGAUAAAAGCUACCCCGGGGAUAACAGGCUUAUCUCGCCCAAGAGUUCACAUCGACGGCGAGGUUUGGCACCUCGAUGUCGGCUCGUCCCAUCCUGGGGCUGAAGGCGGUCCCAAGGGUCCGGCUGUUCGCCGGUUAAAGGGGUACGUGAGUUGGGUUCAGAACGUCGUGAGACAGUUCGGUCUCUAUCCGCCGUGGGCGCAGGAGGCUUGAGGGAACCUCUUCCUAGUACGAGAGGACCGGAAGGGAUAGACCUAUGGUGUGCCAGUUGUUCCGCCAGGAGCAGCGCUGGGUAGCCAUGUCUAGAAUUGAUAAGCGCUGAAGGCAUCUAAGCGCGAAGCUGCCCCCAAGAUGAGGCCUCCCUUCCCUAUUAAGUUAGGGAGUAAGACUGCAGAGAGACUAUCUGCUUGAUAGGCCGGAUGUGUAAGGAUGGCAACAUCUUCAGCAUACCGGUACUAACCGGUCGAGAGGCUUGACCCACGCAAUG